UACAGAGGGUGCUAGCGUUGUUCGGAAUCAUUGGGCGUAAAGGGCGCGUAGGCGGCUUGACAAGUCACUUGUGAAAUCUCCGGGCUUAACUCGGAACGGCCAAGUGAAACUGUCAUGCUAGAGUGCAGAAGGGGCAAUCGGAAUUCUUGGUGUAGCGGUGAAAUGCGUAGAUACUCAAGAGGAACACCUGAGGUGAAGACGGGUUGCUGGGCUGACACUGACGCUGAGGCGCGAAAGCCAGGGGAGCAAACGGG
rnacentral:rRNA from 1 species